rnacentral:tRNA from 2 species
UCCGCUUUAGCUCAGUCGGUAGAGCGCAUGACUGUUAAUCAUGAUGUCGUAGGUUCAAGUCCUACAAGCGGAG